rnacentral:rRNA from 1 species
CAGGAUGAACGCUAGCGACAGGCUAACACAUGCAAGUCGAGGGGCAGCACGGGAGUAGCAAUACAACUGGUGGCGACCGGCGCACGGGUGAGUAACGCGUAUGCAACCUACCUAUCAGAGGGGAAUAACCCGGCGAAAGUCGGACUAAUACCGCAUAAAACAGGGGCACCGCAUGGUGAUAUUUGUUAAAGAGAUUCGCUGAUAGAUGGGCAUGCGUUCCAUUAGGUAGUUGGUGAGGUAACGGCUCACCAAGCCGACGAUGGAUAGGGGAACUGAGAGGUUGGUCCCCCACACUGGUACUGAGACACGGACCAGACUCCUACGGGAGGCAGCAGUGAGGAAUAUUGGUCAAUGGGCGGGAGCCUGAACCAGCCAAGUCGCCGUGAAGGAAGAAGGAUCUAUGGUUCGUAAACUUCUUUUGCAGGGGAAUAAAGUGCAGGACGUGUCCUGUUUUGUAUGUACCCUGAGAAUAAGGAUCGGCUAACUCCGUGCCAGCAGCGGC